rnacentral:misc_RNA from 1 species
GAAAGGAAGAGCUAGGAGAGGAGGGGACUUCUCUGUCAUUUGUGGCUGAAGCAAGAUAAAGCUGAUGUCCUUGAGAGAGAUGAGUUAUGUGACAGAUGGAUUUUUGGUGAAUGUAAUGCGAUCUUGUGUUUCUGGUUACUAAAUUUCUGGAUUAUUUAAAACAAGGAUUUUUUUUGAUAGAGCUGUUGCUUAUCGACACAUAGGUUAAAAUAGAAAUAAUAAUAGAACAUUCAACAAUUUGUGUUGUUUUUGUUUUCUUAAGGUUGCAUGUCAAGAUGAUGUGGUUGAAUGACAAACGUAAAUGUUCUAUUUCAAUACGAACCGCCAAAAAAUGUGGAAUGUGUUUCUUGUAGCUGAAUUAUUAAGUGACAGUCUGAUAUUGGUUUUCCUGCUUCAGUUAAUUAGUUGGCUUAAAGGAUCUGCAGA